AGCUUUGGAAAAUCAAUAUCAUUUCACAAAUCUAUCUGUUCUUGGUGACAAACACAAUCUCUUCCGUUUUUUUACUUUCAUCUGCAUAAUAAAGCUCAUUCGAGCUAUUUAUCUUUUGUGUUAAUAAGCUCUUAUGAGCAAAACUACUAUGGGUUUGAAUCUGCUCACAAAUUGAUUGUUUAAGAUAUAUGGUUUCAGGCCGGCUAUUCUUGAAUACGAGAUCCGAGGGUGUGUGGCAGUGAGGAAGGCUCAACCUCCAACCCGAAGAAGUAUGUGGUGUCAAGAAAAUUGAACGAUUGACUUUGGCCAAAUUGCAGCGUGGGUUCACAUCAUUCACAUGCGUUCAAUGCAAUGAGGACAGAACGUUGUUGGAGUUAUAUGACCGUGUACAGGUGCGCGUCUCUGAUGCUACGGAAACUUCGAAUUUUGUUGCUUAAAUCACUAAACUGACCAAUAUACAUGCUGCCGACGUCUCAACCAGCAGUUGCUUAUCAAGGGAUGUGGUGGACAAAACCUUCUACUAGGUCUACAGGGAUGGUUGCUCUGGAAAGAAG